AGAAAAUGAUCCUUAAGUAUAGAGUCCCCACACUAAAUAUCGUACAAAACUUAGCUCAGACAGUCAUCCACAGAAAUACAAGUGAGAACAAAAGUCAAAAAGAUCCACCCUGUUUGAAUAGCUUUUGACUUGACCCUAUGGCCCCCUCCCCACCUCAGAACACCAACCACCUUCAGCUCCACUCAUUUUUUCAAACAUAUUGUUUCUUAAAUGCCAACAUUCUAUACCACAAACUCAGCUAUUCCAACUACUAUUAAACAAAACCUUCCCUUUAGCUUGGCAUGUGUUAUACAAUCAUAAAAAUGAACUUCUCCACUUCAUCUAACCUUCUUUGAUUCUACAAGCAUGCUCUUCAUCUCCUCUAUAUUAAGGAUAAUCAAUAUGAGAGUAAAGGUGACUGCUGUUUUUUAAAAAAUUAUUUCCAGGACAUCUUUUUGAUUCCUAAUUUUGCUAAGAUUACAAUCAAUACAUUAUGUCUUACUCUUGCUUAACUUAAAAUCUUUAGAUCCUAGAACAUCACAUCAUAGGCUUACAUUGCAAUGCACCACGAGACAUCUUCCUAGUAGGUUCAUCCACAGCCUAAGCAAUUAAGUAAGCACUAUUAAUUGUUGAUGUAAGCCUGAUGUGAUUAGAAAUUUUCUGCUCUUUCCUCCUGUUGUUCUCAUGAUAGUCACACUCCAUCAUUCCUAUUCUUGAUCACUAUAUCAAAUAUCAUAGGACACUCCAAGCUAACGGAUGCAAAACGUGUUAAGACUUACUGGUUCAGGUCAAGUUGUUUGGUUAAGCAACACAUCCCAUUGAGGUGCUAAGUCUUUUGCUUGUGUGUGUUUUAUCUUUUCUUUUCUUUCCUUCUUUUUUUUUUUUUUAUUUUGGGGGGUGGGGGAGGAGGAGAAGGGAGUGAGGGAUUUCUAGCACUUAUUUUCAAAUAUAACACAUUUCAGAUCAGGCACAUAAAUUAUUCAAAUAUCACACACUUCAUGCAGGCAUUUAGUGUCAAAGGACAGCUUUGCUGUCCACACUUCUUUCCCUAUUUUAGCCCACACUUGCUGUCCACCCUUCUUUCCUUAUUUUAGCCCACAAUUAUUUCCUUAUUUCUCCAUUUAUUAUUCUAUACAGUUAGCAUACAUUAUUUGACAGAUUAUAGUUUACAUGUAUAGGGCUAGAAUCAUGCUGGAAUUUAUUUGCUUUUAUUUGCUUUCCAUGUAUAGCAUCCUUGUAAAGUCUAUAUAUAAUAUACAAAACUCAAGGCCAAGGUAUUCGGCCAUUCACACAAUAUUUUGACAUUUAGUACUCAAGGGUUGUGAAGGCCACAAGUCUUAGAACAUUUAUAUAGUGGUACCAUGCAUUCUACAUAUAUGUAUGUAAGAAAAAAAUCUACAAUAUCACAGCCUCUCACAAUUCUAAUGAGAUUCACAUAAAAUGAUCACCCUAUGUAAACAUUGAGCUGAUUGACCACCCCAUAUAUGAGCAGUAAAAAGGAAAAUGUUGGAACUUGAUCAUUCUCUUCAUGUGAUAAUAACUCAGUUUAGGUAUCAUAAAUAAUUCUUUUGCAUGUCUAAAAGAGGUAAAGUAUAAAGUUCUCAAUUAUUUCUAUUGAUGUUGGCAUUUGUCCAUCCUAAGAGUGUUUAGAUCUAUUUAAAAGGGUCUAGAUAUGUGCAUGAUCUCACUUUGAUAUGUUGAGGAUGAAGCCAUGAUGAUGGGUGGGCCAGAUCACAACCCACCUAAUACUUCUGAAACUUGGAGGAAAAUUUUGGGAACAUUGAACACUUUAUAAACAGUAGAGCAAACUCCUGAACACUUGUUUUCCACAUAGCUCUCUCAUUUCUUUAGAUUUU
rnacentral:lncRNA from 1 species